rnacentral:rRNA from 1 species
CCAGACUCCUACGGGAGGCAGCAGUAGGGAAUCUUCGGCAAUGGACGAAAGUCUGACCGAGCAACGCCGCGUGAGUGAAGAAGGUUUUCGGAUCGUAAAACUCUGUUGUUAGAGAAGAACAAGGAUGAGAGUAAAACGUUCAUCCCUUGACGGUAUCUAACCAGAAAGCCACGGCUAACUACGUGCCAGCAGCCGCGGUAAUACGUAGGUGGCAAGCGUUGUCCGGAUUUAUUGGGCGUAAAGCGAGCGCAGGCGGUUUCUUAAGUUUGAUGUGAAAGCCCCCGGCUCAACCGGGGAGGGUCAUUGGAAACUGGGAGACUUGAGUGCAGAAGAGGAGAGUGGAAUUCCAUGUGUAGCGGUGAAAUGCGUAGAUAUAUGGAGGAACACCAGUGGCGAAGGCGGCUCUCUGGUCUGUAACUGACGCUGAGGCUCGAAAGCGUGGGGAGCGAACAGGAUUAGAUACCCUGGUAGUCCACGCCGUAAACGAUGAGUGCUAAGUGUUGGAGGGUUUCCGCCCUUCAGUGCUGCAGCAAAC